AAUGUUUAAACUCGUCGAAUAAUAACACAAAAUCAGAAGCAAACAUUUGGGCGACUUUUUAAACAGGAGAAUGUUCAAACUCGUCGAAUAAUCUCACCAAAUCGGAAGAAACAGUUUGGCGACUUUUUAAACAGGAGAAUGUCCAAACUCGCCGAAUAAUCUCACAAAAUCGGAAAAAAACAUUUGGCGACUUUUUAAACAGGAGUAUUUUCAAACUCGUCGAAUAAUCACACAAAAUCAGAAGCAAAAAUUUUGGCGACUUUUUAAACAGGAGAAUUAUCAAACUCGUCGAAUAAUCACACAAAAUCAGAAGCAAAAAUUUUGACGAAUUUUUAAACAGGAGAAUUAUCAAACUCGUCGAAUAAUCACACAAAAUCAGAAGCAAAAAUUUUGACGAAUUUUUA